GAGAAAAACUUGGGUGAUGAGAAGCCCAUUGGAGAGGGGGAAACAGUAGAUUCUAAUAAGGAGGGUGCUGCUAAUGAACCUGAAGAAAAGGAACCCAAAGAUAAGGAAAUGACUCUUGAAGAGUAUGAGAAGGUACUGGAAGAGAAGAGGAAGGCCCUGCAGGCACACAAGGCUGAGGAAAGAAAGGUGGAUGCUAAAGCAUUUGAAUCCAUGCAGCAG
rnacentral:misc_RNA from 1 species